rnacentral:rRNA from 2 species
CCGUGCUGCUAGGCGCAGAACAUGCAAGUCGAACGAGUUCUCGUUGAUGAUCGGUGCUUGCACCGAGAUUCAACAUGGAACGAGUGGCGGACGGGUGAGUAACACGUGGGUAACCUGCCCUUAAGUGGGGGAUAACAUUUGGAAACAGAUGCUAAUACCGCAUAGAUCCAAGAACCGCAUGGUUCUUGGCUGAAAGAUGGCGUAAGCUAUCGCUUUUGGAUGGACCCGCGGCGUAUUAGCUAGUUGGUGAGGUAAUGGCUCACCAAGGCGAUGAUACGUAGCCGAACUGAGAGGUUGAUCGGCCACAUUGGGACUGAGACACGGCCCAAACUCCUACGGGAGGCAGCAGUAGGGAAUCUUCCACAAUGGACGCAAGUCUGAUGGAGCAACGCCGCGUGAGUGAAGAAGGCUUUCGGGUCGUAAAACUCUGUUGUUGGAGAAGAAUGGUCGGCAGAGUAACUGUUGUCGGCGUGACGGUAUCCAACCAGAAAGCCACGGCUAACUACGUGCCAGCAGCCGCGGUAAUACGUAGGUGGCAAGCGUUAUCCGGAUUUAUUGGGCGUAAAGCGAGCGCAGGCGGUUUUUUAAGUCUGAUGUGAAAGCCCUCGGCUUAACCGAGGAAGCGCAUCGGAAACUGGGAAACUUGAGUGCAGAAGAGGACAGUGGAACUCCAUGUGUAGCGGUGAAAUGCGUAGAUAUAUGGAAGAACACCAGUGGCGAAGGCGGCUGUCUGGUCUGUAACUGACGCUGAGGCUCGAAAGCAUGGGUAGCGAACAGGAUUAGAUACCCUGGUAGUCCAUGCCGUAAACGAUGAAUGCUAGGUGUUGGAGGGUUUCCGCCCUUCAGUGCCGCAGCUAACGCAUUAAGCAUUCCGCCUGGGGAGUACGACCGCAAGGUUGAAACUCAAAGGAAUUGACGGGGGCCCGCACAAGCGGUGGAGCAUGUGGUUUAAUUCGAAGCAACGCGAGAACCUUACCAGGUCUUGACAUCUUUUGAUCACCUGAGAGAUCAGUUUCCCCUUUCGGGGGCAAAAUGACAGUGGUGCAUGGAUGUCGUCAGCUCGUGUCGUGAGAUGUUGGGUUAAGUCCCGCACGAGCGCACCCUUAUGACUAGUGCCAGCAUUUAAGUGGCACUCUAGUAGACUGCCGGUGACAACGAAGAGGUGGGGGAUGACGUCAUCAUCAUGCGAUAUGACUGGGCCUACACACCGUGCCUUACAAUUGGAGUGGG